GGUUAUUCAUAUUGCAAAAGGUUAACUAAGGAUGCCUUUAAAUAAUGCACUUUAUACAGGUAUUCAAAAGUCUGCCUGAAUCCUCCCAGAACAUUGACAAUUUUUAGGAGCAGCUUUUAUAUAAAAGAAGGCACAGAGGUGGCAGGGUAGAAGGGAGGCAUGUAAGAAUGUGGGGGUGGGGGAUCCCCUCCCAUUGUUUAUGGAGGUCUUACCAUGCUAUUCCUCUCCAGCCAACAGAAACAACAUUUGGACUCACAUCUUUGCAAACAGAGUAUCUCCCUACACGGUGCAUCAGAUGUGACGGGUGUGAUGACCGAACACUUUCUAAUUGAGAGAUGAAGUAUUCAGUACUGCUCAUGAACCCCAGAAUAGCACCAACUAGUGUCUUGGAUAGAAAACUUACAUAAGAAAAUACAUUUUUAUUCUCUUAUAAUAGAAAUAACUCUCUAGAAAAAUACAGGUCAGAGUUAAUGAGAAAGAUGAGUCAAGUCCAGGGUGUAGCACUUUUAAUUUAUGUCACGCUAAAUGUGGAAUAAAUUAAUUGCUUCCGAUUUAUGGAUUGAGUUUAAAGUUUUUACAAAAAAGAAAAAUCUUUCGCCUCUCAUGGUUCAGCUGGAAUCCUUUUUAUUCCUUGCACAUCAACUAGUAUAAGUCAAAUCUAAUGGUUUCAAAUGUCUCUUUUUCUUCAGGAUCUGGAUUUCUCUUUCCUUCUUCAAUCCCACUGUCACAAGGAACAUCAGCAGAUUUUCUUCUACUACCCCAAAACAAAAAUGGAGGAUGUGGAAGUAGAGGGAAAAAGCACAAAGGCCACACUUUUGAAGGGAUGGCUGAAUCCUUGGCUCUUGAUCAGCAGGAACUCCUGAGUUGUCAUAAAACCAUGCCUUG
rnacentral:lncRNA from 1 species